rnacentral:rRNA from 1 species
ACGUAGGGGGCAAGCGUUAUCCGGAAUUAUUGGGCGUAAAGAGUGCGUAGGUGGUUUUUUAAGCGUGAGGUGAAAGGCAAUAGCUUAACUAUUGUAAGCCUUGCGAACUGGAAGACUUGAGUGCAGGAGAGGAAAGUGGAAUUCCUAGUGUAGGGGUGAAAUGCGGAGAGAAUAGGAGGAAGAGGAACGGAGAAGGGGACAUAAUGGAGGAUUAGUGACACGGAGGGGGGAAAGGGUCUGGAGCAAAAAG